rnacentral:rRNA from 1 species
GAUGAACGCUAGCUACAGGCUUAACACAUGCAAGUCGAGGGGCAGCAUGAACAUAGCUUGCUAUGUUUGAUGGCGACCGGCGCACGGGUGCGUAACACGUAUCCAAUCUACCCAUGGCUCGGGGAUAGCCUUUCGAAAGAAAGAUUAAUACCCGAUGGUCUCGGUUUAAGGCAUCUUAGACUGAGUAAAGAUUUAUCGGCGAUGGAUGAGGAUGCGUCUGAUUAGGUAGAUGGCGGGGUAACGGCCCACCAUGCCUACGAUCAGUAGGGGUUCUGAGAGGAAGGUCCCCCACAUUGGGACUGAGACACGGUCCAAACUCCUACGGGAGGCAGCAGUGAGGAAUAUUGGUCAAUGGACGAGAGUCUGAACCAGCCAAGUAGCGUGAAGGAUGACUGCCCUAUGGGUUGUAAACUUCUUUUGUUUGGGAAUAAAGUUCGGGACGUGUCCCGUUUUGUAUGUACCAUUCGAAUAAGCAUCGGCUAAUUCCGUGCCAGCAGCCGCCGUAACAC